rnacentral:lncRNA from 1 species
AACAGUCCUCAAAAAUAUUUCUAAGCUAAGGUAUAGUUUUAAAGGCGAUCCUGCAGCAUUCAAAAGCUAUCUUAAAAAAAACAAUGUUGCUCCAGGGCUAUUCCUUAGAUAUGUUGGUAGUAGAUUUCAUGUUUUGUUCCAUAUGGCAGGGAUUGUUGUUACAUACGAAAGACUUAUAAAAACCUUUCUUGAAAACAACACCAAAAAUAAAAUUUGCCAACUCUUACUUCAAGAUAUGAGUAAUGAUAUAACGCUUGUGCAACUGCAAGGGUUGGGCCUGAUAGGAA